rnacentral:rRNA from 1 species
AGCUCGAUGAGUAGGGCGGGACACGUGGUAUCCUGUCUGAAUAUGGGGGGACCAUCCUCCAAGGCUAAAUACUCCUGACUGACCGAUAGUGAACCAGUACCGUGAGGGAAAGGCGAAAAGAACCCCGGCGAGGGGAGUGAAAAAGAACCUGAAACCGUGUACGUACAAGCAGUGGGAGCACAGGUUUACCUGUGUGACUGCGUACCUUUUGUAUAAUGGGUCAGCGACUUAUAUUCUGUAGCAAGGUUAACCGAAUAGGGGAGCCGGAGGGAAACCGAGUCUUAAUUGGGCGUUAAGUUGCAGGGUAUAGACCCGAAACCCGGUGAUCUAGCCAUGGGCAGGUUGAAGGUUGGGUAACACUAACUGGAGGACCGAACCGACUAAUGUUGAAAAAUUAGCGGAUGACCUGUGGCUGGGGGUGAAAGGCCAAUCAAACCGGGAGAUAGCUGGUUCUCCCCGAAAGCUAUUUAGGUAGCGCCUCGUGAAUUCAUCUCCGGGGGUAGAGCACUGUUUCGGCUAGGGGGCCAUCCCGGCUUACCAACCCGAUGCAAACUGCGAAUACCGGAGAAUGUUAUCACGGGAGACACACGGCGGGUGCUAACGUCCGUCGUGAAGAGGGAAACAACCCAGACCGCCAGCUAAGGUCCCAAAGUCAUGGUUAAGUGGGAAACGAUGUGGGAAGGCCCAGACAGCCAGGAUGUUGGCUUAGAAGCAGCCAUCAUUUAAAGAAAGCGUAAUAGCUCACUGGUCGAGUCGGCCUGCGCGGAAGAUGUAACGGGGCUAAACCAUGCACCGAAGCUGCGGCAGCGACGCUGAUGCGUUGUUGGGUAGGGGAGCGUUCUGUAAGCCUG